ACUACAUCAAAUGACUUGUGAGUCUUAUAUAUUAUUUUGUUUCACAAAUCACAAUUCUGACUCAAUAAGUAUACACACUUAGCUAAUAAUAUAAGCUUAAAUGUCUUAUUUCAUAUGAUAAAAUGUCUUAAUUCCAUGGUAGUUCAACUUUCAAACUUGCAGGCUCAUCAUAGGAAAAGACUGAUUGCCAAAUUGCUGAACCACAUAAUUUCAACAAGAGUUUAAUAAACAUACAAAGUAAGUUUUACAGAUACAUUCAAUCAUAAAUAGUAACAUUGUGAUAUGAUAAAAUGAAGAAAACAAAAUGAUAAAACCUCUAUACAACUGAUUCAUGAUAGACAAAAGAGACAGUUAAAAAGGAAAGAUCAUCAACCGGUACAAUGUUUAAGAUCGUUUGAAGAAGAGUCACUGAAGUUAAGAUAAUAACUGCGAAGAUCAUAGCUAUACUGUGGGUUGCUUCUAUGCCAUCUCAUAGCAUGCUUCCAGCUACUCUUCAGCAUGCAAACCAGCUUCCUGAUAACCCUUGAUGCAGGCACACAAUCAAGCGGCAUCCUUCUUUGAACAUUAUUACUAGUUGUCACUAAAGGGCUAACUCUCAUGUUGCUCUCAAGAAUUGGGUUCUUUAAGAUAUAUAAAACUGUGAUAUUUUCAUUUUGAAGUGUUUUCACUACACUUAUAAGUCAACUGAAAACAUGCAUUGCUAUCAGAAAUGUAUCAUGAAAGAUAGGACUUGAAGAUAGCAUGAACGGUGAGUUUUCAAGUGCCAACCACACAAAGCUAACAUCAAAUAUAUGAUGGCAAAUUUUGAUUUGUGGUAGAAAAUAGACAUUAUCAUGAAUAGGGAGGGCAUCAAGUAUCAAAUCAAACUUUAGUUUGGUGCCAACAUGGAGUAUGGAUAGAAAAAAGCACUCUAGUGAUGUAAAAUCAAUGGGGUGUUCAAGCCUUUUGUGUUCUAUACGAGUCUAACUAUUUACCGUAUAUUCCUCUAAGAUUUCUAGCCAAUUUAUCUAGAUGCUUCAGGAUCCUCAGACAUAAAGGUUCAAGCUAUCCUACCUAAAAGUUUGAAAGCAACCAGAUAAGAAAUCACUAAGUUUUCUCUUUGUUUC
rnacentral:lncRNA from 1 species